GAUGAACGCUAGCGACAGGCUUAACACAUGCAAGUCGAGGGGCAGCACAGGGUAGCAAUACUUGGGUGGCGACCGGCGCACGGGUGAGUAACGCGUAUGCAACUUACCUAUCAGAGGGGGAUAGCCCGGCGAAAGUCGGAUUAAUACCCCAUGAAACAGGGGUCCCGCAUGGGAAUAUUUGUUAAAGAUUCAUCGCUGAUAGAUAGGCAUGCGUUCCAUUAGGCAGCUGGCGGGGUAACGGCCCACCAAACCGACGAUGGAUAGGGGUUCUGAGAGGAAGGUCCCCCACAUUGGUACUGAGACACGGACCAAACUCCUACGGGAGGCAGCAGUGAGGAAUAUUGGUCAAUGGCCGAGAGGCUGAACCAGCCAAGUCGCGUGAAGGAAGAAGGAUCUAUGGUUUGUAAACUUCUUUUAUAGGGGAAUAAAGUGGAGGACGUGUCCUUUUUUGUAUGUACCCUAUGAAUAAGCAUCGGCUAACUCCGUG
rnacentral:rRNA from 1 species